GCCCCUUUGUGUGACUAAAUUUGGCAAGAAUAUGGAUCUGAGCCAGUCUUUCCACGUGUGCUCCCAGCUCCCAGCUGAGAAGGCCAAGGGUUCUCUUCCGGAUGCAGCCUUUUUGAAAUUUAUUCUUGGCCAAAAGAGGAACAUAGAUCAAGGAUUCUAUCUUGCUUUUGGGAGGCAAUGGAGAGACCCUGAAAACACUUAAGGAAAACCUGAGGCCUUCUAUAAGAAUAUAAACUCCCUGAAAGGGGAGGCAUGGCCAAGCAAUUUACUUAUUUUUAUAAAUCUCUUUCCUGGGUGGAUAUGUGCUCCGGAAAAGUGCCUGAUUGACAAGAUCUACAUCCAAUGCCCAGAAAACACAUUCUACACAGGCACAGUGAAGCGUGGAGUUGAACAAUUUUCCAGUGAGUUCCAUCAAAGUAAAUAAACCAACCUAGAGCAUCAGGA
rnacentral:antisense_RNA from 1 species